rnacentral:rRNA from 1 species
UACGUAGGGCGCAAGCGUUUGUCCGGAAUUAUUGGGCGUAAAGAGCUCGUAGGCGGUCUGUCGCGUCGGCUGUGAAAACCCGAGGCUCAACCUCGGGCCUGCAGUCGAUACGGGCAGACUAGAGUGCUGUAGGGGAGACUGGAAUUCCUGGUGUAGCGGUGAAAUACGCAGAUAUCAGGAGGAACACCGGUGGCGAAGGCGGGUCUCUGGGCAGUAACUGACGCUGAGGAGCGAAAGCGUGGGGAGCAAACAGG